rnacentral:snRNA from 1 species
AGCUUUGCGCAGUGGCAGUAUCGUAGCCAAUGAGGUUUAUCCGAGGCGCGAUUAUUGCUAAUUGAAAAUCUUUAGGUGGUUGAUUGU